UCGUAAUGAAUCCAACUAUCGCUCCGAGUGAAAACAAAAACCAACCCGACUAUCUACUGUCUCCAACUACACGAAGUGAACCGCUAGCACAAGCAAAUGCAAUUCAUAUCAGAACAGCUGGAUUUUUCAUUGAUUGUUAUCGGCCACUCUUUGUGCACGUUUGGCGUUCUUUCAUCUCUCGUACUUCAAGGCUAGCUCUGCAUCAAGCGGCGCAAAGGGUUAAAGGAACGUUGCUCCGGGGCCUUAAUAUGCAGCAACGGCGAUUAGCAUCAACGACGUCUGUAAUAGCUGCGUCCUAUUGGCAGCGGCAGCUGCAGCCGUGCAUCAACAACGAUUCCCAUUCUGCGCUCGCACACUCACGCGUCUACAAAAUCAGUAGGCUAAAUUAGCUGUGAACCGAUAUGAAGCCACACGCGAAAUUCUUGCCCGAAUUACUUGCAAUAAUAAUGGUAAUCAUAAUUACUGUCGAAAGUACUUUUGUUUCACUUCAACCAAAGCUGGAACGCGAGCCUACCUUAUACAAGGGCUCUCCGGUUAGUCACUAAAAUAGCCCAAGCUAUGCGCUAUCAAGAACAGUACGGCUAGGUAAAUGGACGCACGACUAGCAUCGUUUUCGGCGUUAAACUCAAAAUGCAGUAUUUGUAAAUAGCACAUUCUUGUAUUGUGCACCGGUACAUUUGUUUGUGCCAUUGAAAAUGUACUUAAUUCCCGAGAAGGUAUAAAAGGUGGAUAGGUUUAGCUUUCUAUUGAGUUUAACCGCCAUAUCAUUAAGGAGCUGGACCAACUAAACGGCGUACCUAAUAUGCUAAAACACUUUUUCUUUUAAGCAAAAACUAACUUUUUUAUGAUGAUUAUGAUUUUGCCGUGCAGCUUUUGAAAAAUUCGUUUUUUGAGGCCGAAAAUAGUAGCCUACUAUAGCCCGCCGUGGCGGCAUUAACCAAAGCAAAUCCUUGUCUGGCUAACGCCGACUGCAUAUGAACGCUAGUUUUAAUAAAGUUGACUUUGAAAUUAUUAUUGAAUUAAAAUAUGGCUCCUGAGAGACGAUGCUUGGGACUAUCUGGCCGCGGAACAAUUUCGUGUAUCAAAAGCUACAAAUAUAAUCCAUUCUCCAAAUAAAGAAAAGUUGCAUUAAAGAUUAAGUGGGUUGUAUCUUUCUAGGAAAGUAGUUAGUAUUGUCUUUAAGGGUCCUCUAUAUUAGCCCCUCCUGGUCCUAAUAUUUGAGCUAUUUAUAUGAAAUGUGCUGAUUGACCAUGGCUCAAUAUUAUAGAGUUUCUCGUUGGAAGUAGAAACUUUUGGCCUUAACGUAUUCUUGAAAAUGCUUAUAGGCCUCCUUGAUGUAUACCAAUAAAGUAAGCACUGCCCUACUGAUAGUAAAUACUAGCGAAGAUGCUUUCCCAAAAAAAUACAUAAAUGUACUAAAUAUUUUUGGAAAAACUGAAGAUUCACUGAAUUUUUGACACAGGAACUGUCGUUCAGGGCCAGAAUGAGAGAGCCUCAUUGUUACAUGCGUCCUUUCAAGCACAUUCAUCACACUACACGAUAUGCUUAUUAUAUUUUGACUAUACUUAGAAUUAGUGAGACAUUUUAACCUACACAGAAAAAGGCUGCCUUUUCUUUACAAUAUAUUUACAUAGCUACCUUAUAUUAUUUUAAAAUAUUUACCGUUGAAUCGCUCUAGACGGAUAUAAAAAAGGAAUAAUUGACUUAUGCAUUUUUUUUAUGUAUAUAUACAUAAAAGUAUGAUGCGUUAUAGGCACUAUUGAUCACAACAAAGGUAGUGGUAACUGGAAUUGAGGUAGAAAAAAUGAAUGGUCAAAUGAUCGGUUCUGUAUUGCAUAGUCCCUUUACAUUAUAUCUAUCUAUCUAGCUAGCUAGCUAGCUAUCUACUAAUAUGUAGUCUACCACUUAAAAAAUAAAUCUA